rnacentral:rRNA from 1 species
CAGUCGCCACGGUAAUACGAAGGGGGCUAGCGUUGUUCGGAAUCACUGGGCGUAAAGCGCACGUAGGCGGACGCUUAAGUCAGGGGUGAAAUCCCGAGGCUCAACCUCGGAACUGCCUUUGAUACUGGGUGUCUUGAGUCCGGGAGAGGUGAGUGGAACUGCGAGUGUAGAGGUGAAAUUCGUAGAUAUUCGCAAGAACACCAGUGGCGAAGGCGGCUCACUGGCCCGGGACUGACGCUGAGGUGCGAAAGCGUGGGGAGCAAACAGGAUUAGAUACCCGUGUAGUCCCUGUCUCUUAUAC